AUAAAAGCAAUUUCAUGUUCGACUCUGAAACCCCUUGUUCACUUUAUGAAUAACUCCUGAAGAAAAGGGAGGGAGGACAAUAUGAGCUACUGAAAAGCCUUUAAACCAUCCUGAGCCAAAUAAUCUGAGGGGUGCAUAUAUGAAUCCUUUCCCUCAGGUGGCAUGGGUGGACCCUGGUCUGGUGACAUUUCUGCCACGUGUCCCAAACCCACCUUGCUUUUAUUAAAAGCCCACCUCUCACAAGUCAGGCCCUUGGAUGCCUCCUGCUCAGGGUCCCUUGGUGUUGGAGCAGGCCCAGCAGCCUGGCUGGGUGCCACAACCAAGCUGUGCCUCUCACCUUAACCUGCACAGGAGCACUCCAGGAAGGGCACUGAGAGG
rnacentral:lncRNA from 1 species